UACGAAGGGGGCAAGCGUUAUUCGGAUUUAUUGGGCGUAAAGGGCGUGUAGGCGGCUGGGUAAGUCUGGUGUGAAAACGCUACCGCUUAACGGAGCGAGGUCGCUGGAUACUACCCAACUUGAGUCUGAGAGAGGUGAGCAGAAUGCCAGGUGUAGCGGUGGAAUGCUUAGAUAUCUGGCAGAAUACCUGAGGCGAAGGCGGCUCACUGGCUCAGUACUGACGCUAAGGCGCGAAAGCGUGGGGAUCAAACGGG
rnacentral:rRNA from 1 species